rnacentral:rRNA from 1 species
UUUAUGGAGAGUUUGAUCCUGGCUCAGGAUGAACGCUGGCGGCGUGCCUAAUACAUGCAAGUCGAGCGAACGGACGAGAAGCUUGCUUCUCUGAUGUUAGCGGCGGACGGGUGAGUAACACGUGGAUAACCUACCUAUAAGACUGGGAUAACUUCGGGAAACCGGAGCUAAUACCGGAUGAUAUUUUGAACCGCAUGGUUCAAAAGUGAAAGACGGUCUUGCUGUCACUUAUAGAUGGAUCCGCGCUGCAUUAGCUAGUUGGUAAGGUAACGGCUUACCAAGGCAACGAUGCAUAGCCGACCUGAGAGGGUGAUCGGCCACACUGGAACUGAGACACGGUCCAGACUCCUACGGGAGGCAGCAGUAGGGAAUCUUCCGCAAUGGGCGAAAGCCUGACGGAGCAACGCCGCGUGAGUGAUGAAGGUCUUCGGAUCGUAAAACUCUGUUAUUAGGGAAGAACAUAUGUGUAAGUAACUGUGCACAUCUUGACGGUACCUAAUCAGAAAGCCACGGCUAACUACGUGCCAGCAGCCGCGGUAAUACGUAGGUGGCAAGCGUUAUCCGGAAUUAUUGGGCGUAAAGCGCGCGUAGGCGGUUUUUUAAGUCUGAUGUGAAAGCCCACGGCUCAACCGUGGAGGGUCAUUGGAAACUGGAAAACUUGAGUGCAGAAGAGGGAAGUGGAAUUCCAUGUGUAGCGGUGAAAUGCGCAGAGAUAUGGAGGAACACCAGUGGCGAAGGCGACUUUCUGGUCUGUAACUGACGCUGAUGUGCGAAAGCGUGGGGAUCAAACAGGAUUAGAUACCCUGGUAGUCCACGCCGUAAACGAUGAGUGCUAAGUGUUAGGGGGUUUCCGCCCCUUAGUGCUGCAGCUAACGCAUUAAGCACUCCGCCUGGGGAGUACGACCGCAAGGUUGAAACUCAAAGGAAUUGACGGGGACCCGCACAAGCGGUGGAGCAUGUGGUUUAAUUCGAAGCAACGCGAAGAACCUUACCAAAUCUUGACAUCCUUUGACAACUCUAGAGAUAGAGCCUUCCCCUUCGGGGGACAAAGUGACAGGUGGUGCAUGGUUGUCGUCAGCUCGUGUCGUGAGAUGUUGGGUUAAGUCCCGCAACGAGCGCAACCCUUAAGCUUAGUUGCCAUCAUUAAGUUGGGCACUCUAAGUUGACUGCCGGUGACAAACCGGAGGAAGGUGGGGAUGACGUCAAAUCAUCAUGCCCCUUAUGAUUUGGGCUACACACGUGCUACAAUGGACAAUACAAAGGGCAGCGAAACCGCGAGGUCAAGCAAAUCCCAUAAAGUUGUUCUCAGUUCGGAUUGUAGUCUGCAACUCGACUACAUGAAGCUGGAAUCGCUAGUAAUCGUAGAUCAGCAUGCUACGGUGAAUACGUUCCCGGGUCUUGUACACACCGCCCGUCACACCACGAGAGUUUGUAACACCCGAAGCCGGUGGAGUAACCUUUUAGGAGCUAGCCGUCGAAGGUGGGACAAAUGAUUGGGGUGAAGUCGUAACAAGGUAGCCGUAUCGGAAGGUGCGGCUGGAUCACCUCCUUUCU